GUGGGUAGUUUGACUGGGGCGGUCUCCUCCUAAAGAGUAACGGAGGAGCACGAAGGUUGGCUAAUCCUGGUCGGACAUCAGGAGGUUAGUGCAAUGGCAUAAGCCAGCUUGACUGCGAGCGUGACGGCGCGAGCAGGUGCGAAAGCAGGUCAUAGUGAUCCGGUGGUUCUGAAUGGAAGGGCCAUCGCUCAACGGAUAAAAGGUACUCCGGGGAUAACAGGCUGAUACCGCCCAAGAGUUCAUAUCGACGGCGGUGUUUGGCACCUCGAUGUCGGCUCAUCACAUCCUGGGGCUGAAGUAGGUCCCAAGGGUAUGGCUGUUCGCCAUUUAAAGUGGUACGCGAGCUGGGUUUAGAACGUCGUGAGACAGUUCGGUCCCUAUCUGCCGUGGGCGCUGGAGAACUGAGGGGGGCUGCUCCUAGUACGAGAGGACCGGAGUGGACGCAUCACUGGUGUUCGGGUUGUCAUGCCAAUGGCACUGCCCGGUAGCUAAAUGCGGAAGAGAUAAGUGCUGAAAGCAUCUAAGCACGAAACUUGCCCCGAGAUGAGUUCUCCCUGAGACUUAAAGUCUCCUGAAGGAACGUUGAAGACGACGACGUUGAUAGGCCGGGUGUGUAAGCGCAGCGAUGCGUUGAGCUAACCGGUACUAAUGAACCGUGAGGCUUAACC
rnacentral:rRNA from 2 species